GUCCAACUAACUUGUCCCAAACAGAACGAAACGCGUGUCCUGGAU
rnacentral:hammerhead_ribozyme from 1 species